GCCCGAGCACUACGAGCCACAGCUUAAAACUCAAAGGACUUGGCGGUGCCCUACACCCACCUAGAGGAGCCUGUUCUAUAAUUGAUAUUCCACAAUAAACCUCACCCCCUCUCGCCAAUACAGUCUAUAUACCACCGUCGUAAGCUUACCCCCACCAGGCAAGACAGUAGGCCCAAGAAUUUAAAAUUUAAAAGUCAGGUCAAGGUGUAACACAUGGGGCGGAAAGAAAUGGGCUACAUUUUCUUUAAAGAAAACACGAAACAUUAUGUGAAAUAUAAUGUGAAGGAGAAUUUAGCAGUAAACAGAAAAAAGAGUGUUCUCUUUAAUUUGGCAAUAGGGCAAGCACACACCGCCCGUCACCCUCUCCAACCAAAAUAAAUUUAAUAAAGUAUAAAUUAUAGAGAAGAGGAAAGUCGUAACAUGGUAAGUCUACCGGAAGGUGGCCUUGGAUU
rnacentral:rRNA from 1 species